rnacentral:rRNA from 1 species
ACUCCUACGGGAGGCAGCAGUGGGGAAUUUUGGACAAUGGGCGAAAGCCUGAUCCAGCAAUGCCGCGUGAGUGAAGAAGGCCUUCGGGUUGUAAAGCUCUUUUGUCAGGGAAGAAACGGUGAAAGCUAAUAUCUUUUGCUAAUGACGGUACCUGAAGAAUAAGCACCGGCUAACUACGUGCCAGCAGCCGCGGUACUACGUAGGGUGCAAGCGUUAAUCGGAAUUACUGGGCGUAAAGCGUGCGCAGGCGGUUUUGUAAGUCUGAUGUGAAAUCCCCGGGCUCAACCUGGGAAUUGCAUUGGAGACUGCAAGGCUAGAAUCUGGCAGAGGGGGGUAGAAUUCAACGUGUAGCAGUGAAAUGCGUAGAUAUGUGGAGGAACACCGAUGGCGAAGGCAGCCCCCUGGGUCAAGAUUGACGCUCAUGCACGAAAGCGUGGGGAGCAAACAGGAUUAGAAACCCUGGUAGUCCCAUGA